GAUCCUGGCUCAGAUUGAACGCUGGCGGCAUGCCUUACACAUGCAAGUCGAACGGCAGCACGGGGGCAACCCUGGUGGCGAGUGGCGAACGGGUGAGUAAUGCAUCGGAACAUGCCCUGAAGUGGGGAUAACGUAGCGAAAGUUACGCUAAUACCGCAUAUUCUGUGAGCAGGAAAGCAGGGGAUCGCAAGACCUUGCGCUUUGGGAGUGGCCGAUGUCGGAUUAGCUUGUUGGUGAGGUAAAGGCUCACCAAGGCGACGAUCCGUAGCGGGUCUGAGAGGAUGAUCCGCCACACUGGGACUGAGACACGGCCCAGACUCCUACGGGAGGCAGCAGUGGGGAAUUUUGGACAAUGGGCGAAAGCCUGAUCCAGCCAUGCCGCGUGAGUGAAGAAGGCCUUCGGGUUGUAAAGCUCUUUCGGCGGGGAAGAAAUCGCAUUCACUAAUACUGGAUGUGGAUGACGGUACCCGAACAAGAAGCACCGGCUAACUACGUG
rnacentral:rRNA from 1 species